AACGAACGCUGGCGGCAUGCCUAACGCAUGCAAGUCGAACGAGACCUUCGGGUCUAGUGGCGCACGGGUGCGUAACGCGUGGGAACCUGCCCUUAGGUUCGGAAUAACUCCCCGAAAGGGGUGCUAAUACCGGAUAAUGUCUUCGGACCAAAGAUUUAUCGCCUUUGGAUGGGCCCGCGUUGGAUUAGCUAGUUGGUAGGGUAAAAGCCUACCAAGGCGACGAUCCAUAGCUGGGCUGAGAGGAUGAUCAGCCACACUGGGACUGAGACACGGCCCAGACUCCUACGGGAGGCAGCAGUGGGGAAUAUUGGACAAUGGGCGAAAGCCUGAUCCAGCAAUGCCGCGUGAGUGAUGAAGGCCUUAGGGUUGUAAAGCUCUUUUACCCGGGAUGAUAAUGACAGUACCGGGAGAAUAAGCUCCGGCUAACUCCGUG
rnacentral:rRNA from 1 species